CAACAAGAGUCAGAGAGAGAGAGAAAGAGAGAGACUGAACUACACUAUGGAGUAGAGAGAGAAAACAAAAACCUCAUCACCAGAGAGAGAGAGAGAGAGAGAGAGAGAGAGAGGGAGAAAAGAGUCCGUUAAUUUCAGUUUAAAAGAGAGAGAAAAAAAAUGGUGACAGAGGAACAAAUAUCGGAAGCGGUAUCGUCGCUGCUGCGCGAAUCGAACCCUAGCAAGCGUAGUUUCACGACGCUGAACCAGGUGGUGGAGGAGCUUCAGGCUAAGCUCGGCCACGACCUCUCUCAUAAGCUCGAUUUCAUCACUGCGCAGAUCAACCUCCUUUUCGGAUCCCAACCACAACCACCACAACCUCCGCCGCAAAAUGCGCAGAGGCAGAUACAGCAACAGAAAGACCGUUUCGUCCCUCCACCAAACCCUAAUUUCCACUCUGUUCCUGUCAGUUCCGACUUCCAGGCUACCAAAUUCAUUUCUUCUAACGCUGUCGUCGCCACUCCUGCUGAUAUUUCGCGCGUUGAAGUUCCUUCUCCUGUUCCUGCCUCUGCCCCUGCUCUUGCUCCUGUUAACGAUGCUCCGAAGGAAAGUACUCAAACAAAGGUGAAGAGAAGAGGUGGCCCUGGAGGUCUCACCAAACUUUGUGGUGUAUCGCCUGAACUUCAGGUCAUUGUUGGCCAGCCAGCACUGUCGAGGACUGAGAUUGUCAAGCAACUGUGGGCUUACAUAAGGAAAAACAAUCUUCAAGAUCCCAGCAACAAAAGGAAAAUAAUUUGCAAUGAAGAGCUGCGUGUGGUGUUUGAGACUGAUUGUACUGAUAUGUUUAAGAUGAACAAGUUGCUAGCUAAACACAUUAUCCCCCUUGAACCAACCAAAAAGCCUGUUCCAAAGAAGCAGAAGGUAGAUGUGGACUCAGGAAAAAGAAUUACUGAACCUACUCCCUCUGUAAUAAUAUCUGAUGCACUGGCUAACUUUUUUGGGAUUACUGAAAGGGAGAUGCUACAGUCUGAAGUUCUGAGACGUAUCUGGGAGUACAUAAAAGUCAACAGGCUAGAGGAUCCUAUGAAUCCUAUGGCAAUACUGUGUGAUGCGAAGCUUCAGGAGAUCUUUGGCUGUGAAAGCAUUUCAGCAUUGGGGAUACCUGAAGUUCUGGGCCGUCAUCAUAUUUUUAGGAGUUCAUGAUGCUGACAGCAUUCUAUGGUUGAGUCUGGCUAAACAGAGUAAAGCGAUUCCCAAAAUUCAUGACUCUGCCACUUUUUAUACGUACUUGUGCAUGCAAUGCAAAUUUCACAAAACAAUGAUUUAUCCUAGACAGUGACAGAUUGCAGGGUGUUAAUUCCAGUAUAGUUGGAGCUGAUCUUGACCUCAUGUUGAUAUGGUUCUGUAAUUUGACUGAUCAGAUUUGUGUUCUUAGGUCAUGUUGAUAAGUUAUUAGAAGAAUGAAAAUGUAAGAGACAACUAUUAGUUUGGCAGUGAUGUGUUUGUAGGUCUUGCAGUUCUUGUUUGUCUAACUUGGCACUUAGGAUAGAAUGACAUGUGGGUGGGUAUUCUGACACCUGUAAAAUUCUCUGACAAUAGGAAAGAAAAUUAUGUACAAGGUAUCUUCCUUCAAACAUUACCCAUGCAAUUUAUGUGUAGCUAAUGAAAUGCAGCUUGCCAGAUGUA